ensembl:lncRNA
AUUUUUUUGUAAACUAACGAGAGUCAUGUCAGUGGUUUAUAUUUAAUAAAAUCAAUAUCCUAUUAAUCAGUAAGUACAAAAGAAAUACGCAUGAAAACAAAAUGCUUUAGGUAAUUUAUAAAACAGUUCAAAAUGCAUUAUAAAAUUGUUUAAGUGAAUUAAUGUUUUCUGUUUUUUUCUCACCAAGGAGGUUCAUGAUUAUAGAUAAGAGAAGUUAACUUCAGGAUGCUAAAAAGGAAACAGAGUUCAAGGGUGGAAGCCCAGCCAGUUACAGAUUUUGGUCCUGAUGAAUCUUUGUUCAGACAAUGCAGAUAUUCUAUGGAUUAACAAACCAUGGGUGCACUCUCUACUACGAAUUUGUGCCAUCAUCAGUGUUAUUUCUGUGUGUAUGAACACUCCAAAAAACCUUCGAGCAUUAUCCGCCUCUCCAGUAUGUGACAUUUGCUCUUGAUACUCUGUUGAUGUUUCUUUACACUGCAGAGAUGAUAGCAAAAAUGCAUAUCCGUGGGAUAGUUAGGUAAGCAUUUUAAACAGUAUACUCUGUGUGCUUCCAGUGAUCUGUAUGCUAAUGACAUUUGGUAUUUGUUUUUUAACUUGCCAGCUCUCUUGCUGUGAUUGUUUUUAACUGCAGGCAACACCAUGGUGUGUAAACUGAAAAGACAGAUGGAUAAAGAUAUAGCUUUACUGCAUAUUUAAUCCCCCCAAAAUAUAAUUCAAGCAUUCAUAAUAAGGUUUCCUAUUAAGAAAACAGAUAGUUUAAUUUAUUAGUAUAAAGAAUGAAAGGGAAAAUGUGCUGCAUACACAUUAGCAAGAAUAUUUUGUAAAUGUAUGUUGGUCUCCAUAUAUGGACUUAGAAUUUCGAUUUUCAUUUCAUGCAGCUGGAUGUGUUGUUGUAUGGUUACUUUACUUCAAUAAGAGCAUGAGUUUUACUGCAAGCUAGUAGAGAAAGUGAUCUUGCUUUGAUUUUUUUUUAACCUUGAUGUUGUCCAUGUUGGUAAACAAAAUGCUUUUCUUAUAUGUCUGCUGUUGUUGCUGGGCUAAUUUGUGUAAGUGGAUUGGAAGCUGCAAAACUGCAGAAUAUUUUAGUAAUCGUUAUUUGGUAUCAUUAUUUUAUUGAUUGUUUCUAGUCUUCUGCAAAAAGAUACGAAUUCAGCUUUCAUGCUUAAAAUCCAUUUGCAGACCUUACUGACAAUGUAAUUAUGGCACUACUGCACAUAAUAUAUAAUGUGUGCUAUGUUAUCCUUGCUCUUAAAUCUGUAAAGGUCUGGUGACUCCAGAGACAUCUGAUGUUGUACUUAAGAUUUUAAUUUAAGAUUGAACUGUUGUGUCAUCAUACUUAAUGAAUAUUAAUAGUAAAAGUUUAAUUGUUGUGAAUAUUAAUAUAUAGAAACUUACUGAAAUAAGAUGAUUCUGAGAAAAUAUUCAUGGAUUGUGUAAAGCCAGAGUAAUCCUUUGUGAAGUGCUGUUCCUGGCUGCUACUCGAGCUCUCUUGUUCAGAGAUGUCCAUGAAGAAAGUGAAGAUGUGAACAGAGGAUUAUGCAUGGGGAAUUAGUGAUUUCUAAGCUUUUGAGUAUGCAUAGACCAACUUCACUCACAGUCAAGACCUAGGGGAUAUGAAAGAUAUGCUACUGCAUAGCCUAGUGUCUUUACUGAGUUGUUUGAAUUUGUGAGUUUGUGAGAAAAGAAUAUUAAGUAUGGGCAUUGUCCUUAUGGGGGACUUCAACUUGCCAGAAAUUAUCUGGGAGCAUCACAUAGCUGGUACAACCUGGGCCAGAAGAUUCUUAAAAAACUGGAUGACAACUUUACGGAACAGGUCCUAAGGGAGGUGUCUCAGAACAAUGCCCUCCUUGAUUCUACUGCUUGUCAACAGAGUCGAUCUCAUGGUGGAGAUCGGCAGCUGUCUUGGCAAGAGUUUAAAAUUUUUGUUGACAGGAGGAAAAAUGACAACAAAACUUCAGCUCUGGACAUGAGAAGAGCAGACUUCAGGCAUUCAGGGAAUUAGUAAGUGAGAUCCCUGGGAAGAUGUUUUGCAGA